GCGGGGCCGUCCCGAUUUCAAACGGCAGCCAAGAGCCGGUGGCGUGUCUGGGCUCCCGGCCACGGCCUCCGGCGGGAACAGGUUCGGACCUGGCCCCCGCUGCAGAGCGCUGAGGGAGCCUCAAGUUUCUUGCACGGCGCUUAUGACAUCAUGGUACAGAAAUAAGAGUCAAAACUUUGAAAGAACAAAACCACAAAGAGAGAUGUUCUCAUGCUCUAUUCAGCUCGGUGUUAGCUGCUUCUAGUUUCGCUGCAAAGGAUUCAAAUAGUCUCCAGUGAAACGAGAGAAUGCCUGGUGGCUUAAAACCAACAUCAUCUGUGUUUCUGAUUGCGCCACCAAAAGAAAAAUUGUGCAAGGGUCUCGGUGCUCCAUCUUCUUUGAAAAGCUGAGAAAUUAUCUGUGUCUCUUUGAGCAUGUUAAUGUGUGGACCACCAAAGGUGGCGGGAAGUUCUACUCGGCCUUCAGCGAGGAUAAGCUUCUCCUACAUGGCCAUGAGCUCGGAAGGGCUGCUGCUCUACCAGUAGGAGGGGUUGGACGAAGAACAGCAGGCAUCUGGUGCCCGUAAAACAAGCCAAAGCAU